CCCUUAGAUGUUCUGGGCCGCACGCGCGCUACACUGAUGCAUUCAACGAGUCUAAAACCUGCUCUGAUAGGGGUGGGUAAUCUUUUGAAUGUGCAUCGUGAUUGGGAUAGAUGAUUGCAAUUUUUCAUCUUCAACGAGGAGUGCCUAGUAAACGCAAGUCAUCAGCUUGCAUUGAUUACGUCCCUGCCCUUUGUACACACCGCCCGUCGCUCCUACCGAUUGAAUGAUCCGAUGAAUAUCAUGGAUUGAGGAUGCAAGUAGGUUAGCCUAUCUUCAUCUUCGAGAAGUGAAGUAAAUCUUAUCAUUUAGAGGAAGGAGAAGUCGUAACA
rnacentral:rRNA from 1 species